rnacentral:rRNA from 1 species
AGCUAAUAGAUACCCUGGUAGUCCACGCCCUAAACGAUGCAUAUUUGGUGUAGGUCAUUCAGUUGAUCUGUGCCGGAGCUAACGCGUUAAAUAUGCCGCCUGGGGAGUACAGUCGCAAGGCUGAAACUCAAAGGAAUUGACGGGGGCCCGCACAAGCGGUGGAGCAUGUGGUUCAAUUCGACGCAACGCGAAGAACCUUACCUGGGCUCGAACGGCUGGUCAACGAUCGUGGAAACACGGUUACUCCGCAAGGAGGUCCAGUCGAGGUGCUGCAUGGCUGUCGUCAGCUCGUGUCGUGAGAUGUUGGGUUAAGUCCCGCAACGAGCGCAACCCUUGUCCUGUGUUGCCAUCCCGCAAGGGGGGACUCGCAGGAGACCGCCAGCGAUAAGCUGGAGGAAGGUGGGGAUGACGUCAAGUCCUCAUGGCCUUUAUGUCCAGGGCUACACACGUGCUACAAUGGCCGGUACAAAGCGCAGCUAAGUCGCGAGACGGAGCCAAUCGCAAAAAACCGGUACGUCAGUUCGGA